rnacentral:rRNA from 1 species
AGUGAACGCUGGCGGUAGGCCUAACACAUGCAAGUCGAACGGCAGCACAGUAAGAGCUUGCUCUUACGGGUGGCGAGUGGCGGACGGGUGAGGAAUACAUCGGAAUCUACUUUUUCGUGGGGGGUAACGUAGGGAAACUUACGCUAAUACCGCAUACGACCUACGGGUGAAAGCAGGGGAUCUUCGGACCUUGCGCGAUUGAAUGAGCCGAUGUCGGAUUAGCUAGUUGGCGGGGUAAAGGCCCACCAAGGCGACGAUCCGUAGCUGGUCUGAGAGGAUGAUCAGCCACACUGGAACUGAGACACGGUCCAGAAUCCUAAGGGAGGAAGCAGUGGGGAAUAUUGGAAAAUGGGCGCAAGCCUGAACCAGCCAUACCGCGUGGGUGAAGAAGGACUUCGGGUUGUAAAGCCCUUUUGUUGGGAAAGAAAAGCAGCAGGUUAAUACCCCGCUGUUCUGAAGGUACCAAAAGAAUAAGCACCGGCUAACUUCGUG